AUCCCGCCUUUCCUGGAACUUCUUCACUCGGAGUGGAAUCGAACCACGAAGGAUUUUCAGUCCUUUGCUCUAACCAGCUGAGCUCCAGCUCCCCGAAAACAAGGUUCAACUCUUUGUUGAGGCCACUUGUGUAGGAAAGCCCUUGAUCGAAUGGCGGGGUCUGCUGAAGAGCGACCCACGUCUUCCUCGUCAUACAGCACAGAAGUCUGACUUCCACCUCAAAUGCAGCUUCUUAUUGACAAAUUGCAACCGGAGUUUGCCAUGACUGAUCAUAGUUUUCGAAAGAAGAUCGAGAAAAGAAGCCAAGACCCUUCUACCGUACCGAAUUACGCUUUCACCAGGAGCGUAGCGAAAAACAAACAGUAAGAUUUUGGUCCGGCUUACUCUCUAUACUUAACAUAUCUUGCUUCCCUAUCACCAUCUCUUCGGAAUGGCACUGAAUUCGUACUCCCCAGGCUCCGCACUCACGAUACCCCCACAAUAUAGUAUAAAUAGUGGCCGUUCACGUCAGGAAGGAAAAGAAGAAAGAGGGAGGACUGAUCCCAAGGGUAACUUCAAAAGCAAACAUGCUUACCAUAUGGCUGCUCAUCAAGACUCUCAGCAAAGACUCCAAUCGAGUGACUGGAAGUGGAUUUGCCCAAACUACUCCUAGAGUGAACGACUUCCUCUGGCUUUGUGCCCAUGAUCGUCU
rnacentral:lncRNA from 1 species